rnacentral:rRNA from 1 species
UACAGAGGGGGCAAGCGUUGUUCGGAAUUACUGGGCGUAAAGCGCACGUAGGCGGCUUUGUAAGUCAGGGGUGAAAUCCCGGGGCUCAACCUCGGAACUGCCUUUGAUACUGCAAAUCUCGAGUCCGGAAGAGGUGAGUGGAAUUCCUAGUGUAGAGGUGAAAUUCGUAGAUAUUAGGAAGAACACCAGUGGCGAAGGCGGCCCACUGGUCCGGUACUGACGCUGAGGUGCGAAAGCGUGGGGAGCAAACAGG